rnacentral:rRNA from 1 species
AUUGAACGCUGGCGGCAUGCUUUACACAUGCAAGUCGAACGGUAACAGGCCGCAAGGUGUUGACGAGUGGCGAACGGGUGAGUAAUGCAUCGGAACGUGCCCAGUCGUGGGGGAUAACGCAGCGAAAGCUGUGCUAAUACCGCAUACGAUCUGUGGAUGAAAGCGGGGGACCGAAAGGCCUCGCGCGAUUGGAGCGGCCGAUGUCAGAUUAGGUAGUUGGUGGGGUAAAGGCUCACCAAGCCAACGAUCUGUAGCUGGUCUGAGAGGACGACCAGCCACACUGGGACUGAGACACGGCCCAGACUCCUACGGGAGGCAGCAGUGGGGAAUUGUGGACAAUGGGCGCGAGCCUGAUCCAGCAAUGCCGCGUGCAGGAAGAAGGCCUUCGGGUUGUAAACUGCUUUUGUACGGAGCGAAAAGGCUCUCUCUAAUACAGGGGGCUCAUGACGGUACCGUAAGAAUAAGCACCGGCUAACUACGUGCCAGCCGCCGCGGUAAUAC